rnacentral:rRNA from 1 species
AGAGUUUGAUCAUGGCUCAGGAUGAACGCUGGCGGCGUGCUUAACACAUGCAAGUCGAACGGAGUAAUUAAAGUAGCUUGCUACAUUAAUUACUUAGUGGCGGACGGGUGAGUAACGCGUGGAUAACCUACCUUACACAGGGGGAUAACAACGAGAAAUCGUUGCUAAUACCGCAUAAGUGUGAUUUUCGCAUGGGGAUCAUAUGAAAGCUCCGGCGGUGUAAGAUGGGUCCGCGUCUGAUUAGCUAGUUGGUGAGAUAACAGCCCACCAAGGCAACGAUCAGUAGCCGGCUUGAGAGAGUGGACGGCCACACUGGGACUGAGACACGGCCCAGACUCCUACGGGAGGCAGCAGUGGGGAAUAUUGCACAAUGGGGGAAACCCUGAUGCAGCGACGCCGCGUGAAGGAUGAAGGUCUUCGGAUCGUAAACUUCUAUCAGCAGGGAAGAAGGCAGUGACGGUACCUGACUAAGAAGCCCCGGCUAACUACGUGCCAGCAGCCGCGGUAAUACGUAGGGGGCAAGCGUUAUCCGGAAUCACUGGGUGUAAAGGGUGCGUAGGCGGUAGGGCAAGUCAGAUGUGAAAGCCCGGGGCUCAACUCCGGGAUUGCAUUUGAAACUGUCUUACUAGAGUGCAGGAGAGGAAAGCGGAAUUCCUAGUGUAGCGGUGAAAUGCGUAGGUAUUAGGAAGAACACCAGUGGCGAAGGCGG